CAUGAAGAGCACUGAUAUGUUUGUACUGAUCAUUUGUAUCCUUCCACUUCAUUCCCUUUGAAGUAACUGGCUAGGCAUAGAAGGAUAUACAAAGUGACCUAAACAUGGACUCAGUCUACCCCUUUGGCCUAAUGCUUCUGACCAACUUAUUGACUUUAUUUUCCUCUAAAAGCAAAAUUUAUUUAAAUGUUUCUUAAUGACCUGAAAGAAUUCCUAGUUAUAUUCAGUUACUAAUUUAAGACAGUACAAGAAAUCACGGAAAAGCAUCUUAUUUCCUAAACGAUUAACUUCAAAGGAAAUUGCAACUUAUGAUUUACCAAGAAAUUGUCACAUUCCAGAGAGAAGAUUUUAUGAUACAUGCAUAGUUUCUCCUCAACUGAGACAGAUGCAUAUUCUUUCAAUUAUAUGGAAGCAAGUUGUUUUCUGAGUUCUUACAAUGCUUUCUGAUUUUAAAAAAUUUCAUUUAAAAGCCUAAUUGGAAAAAAACAGAAAGAGAAACAAAUGCCUGGGGAAGAUGUUCUUACCCAAGAACUGAUCAAGGAGUUCUUUGAACCAUGGGCUUUAAUUAUUGGCUGGUCAUUUCUUUUUAUCCACACUGUUGGCAUGGUUCCAGCUACAUGGAUGCAAAGGAUAGUCUAUUUCACCAAUGACCUACCUCAGUGUUCACAGAGCAUGGCACCAGCAUAUGCUUGGAACAUUUGAUUGCUUCAAGAGAAGAAGUGAUCGCAGGUUACAAAUUACAAAACUCUUCUAAUGGUCUAUAAUCUAAAGAAGGUCAAGAAUCAGUAUUCCUUUCACUGGACAAUUAGAGGUCCAUGACUGUGAACUUUCUAUUGAAUGCCAGACUUCAUUCAGGAUGUUUUCACUUGGGUUUU